CAAGGCCCCGGCUCCGUGGGUACCGCUCCCCUGCCCCGGCGCCAGCACCGCGUCCUGCUGCCCGCCCCGCCCGGCCCUUCCCUGCGGCCGCUGAGCCGGUGCGGAGCGCCAUCUCCGCCGCUCGGUGCCCCGCCAGGCUCCCCGUGUCUCCGCAACCUGCUCAGGAACCUUGCUAAGGAGAAAAAUGGAUUGGUUCCUUAUACCUAUUAAAUGCAUAUAAAUAUAUGUCUCUGUUGAGCUAGACCGGGGACUCGGAUGGCCGCGGACACCUCCCCGGCAGCCACGGCGCUGGAGCCGCGGUGAGGCAGCGCCGGAGAUGCUCGCAGGUGCCACCCUGCUGCUACGGUUACUUGCGGACUGCAGUCCCCGAGUGGAAAUAAAAAAUUUCCCAUAAAAGGAAUUUUAAUUAUACAACCGACCUCAUGAAUAUAUUUUUAUAUAUAUAUAUAUAUAUAAGAAAAAAAAAAAAAAAAAGGCUGUACGCACAGAGGGCGCAGGGGUAAAUCUGUAGCGAAGUGCCGAGCGGCGGUGCCGAGGCCCCGCACCGUCCCACCCCGGCCCCGCAGGUUGGAGGGCACCGCGGGCCUCCCUCCCUGCGGCGGGCAGCGCUCCCGCCGCGCCGGGGAGCCCCGCCGGCUGGCGCACCCUCGGGGCACGGGGAACCCCCGCGCAGGCUCUAGACCCUGCCGGACGGGGACUUCCUUUUGUUUGUUCUCAUUAUUUUCUUUGCGAAGAAGCAGGCGGUUCAUGCGGCGGUAUAAAGUUGGAUCUCUAAUAACAGUUAAAAAUUAAAAAAAUAGUUAAAAAUAAUUUAAAAAAAAAAGUUAAAAUGCAAACGCUUUACUAGGAAGCGUUUCACGCAGCUGGUGCAAAAUCAUUUUUAUUUUUUAUCUACGGGAAAGGUAAAACAGGUUUAUGAUUUUUUUUUUCUGUGAGAUAGCACUGUCAUCAAAAUACAGAUGCUUUUCCUACAUCAAUGAUUUUUCACUACAGCCUAAGGGCCUCUUGGCUUUAAAGCUCUAGUUAUUUUUGCUAAUAUAUCAAGAAUUUAACUCCUGACUAUUUCAUAAAUCAACUCCUGAUGCACUGUACAGUAUUUAUAUACUUAUUUUCAGACGUACAUUCUGGCUUAGUAGAUUGCCAACUCACCAUCUCAAUGCUUCAAAGCGAUGAUGCUGGGAAUUGUCAGCUCUGAAGACAAGGUUAGCUCACAGGAUCAGGAUGUGCUGUGUAAAAUGCUGAUUUAUGAAAGUGUUACAAUUCAUGUGUCUUGCAGGUUGAAUUGCAUGCAUUAUAUGAUCUGAAAUACACAAAGGAUUGAUCUGCAGUGUUUAUUUUAAAACAGAAUUCAUGUUGUCUCCAAAGGUGAGGGUGCCAGUGAUGUACCGGAGCAGAAGCUAGAAGGUCCAUCUUUCAACCCACCCCAGCCUGGAGAAGCUGUGGCAAAGCACUCCUGUACCCUGAUAACAAACCCCUGCGGCCUGACCCUCACCCCAGCAUUGCUGGGAGCAGUAAGCACUCUGCCCUGCCCUGCCCUGCCCUGCCCAGGGUGAAGAAUGCCUCCUGUGAGCCAAAUAGAUGCCUACUCAUUUUUUAAAAUCUUUUCUGACUUUGAUGAGCUCCUGACCAGCAGGUGACACAUCUUCGGGCCUACGAACUGCUGAGGGUGUUGCUUUCCCAUAUACAGUUGCUCUCUGACAAGCCUCAGUAGCCUCUGCAGCCAAGGGGACUCUGGGGGGCUCUGGCAGGCUUCAUUUUGCUGUCCUCCUGCCAGCCUGUGGAUAGUCUUUCCUAUUGUAGGUAGGCCUGUGGUGCUCAUGUGAAGGUGACAUCCAGUUCCAGGUUUGCAGUUAAUCAAGUCUACUUGCUCAAGUUGGACAAUUUAAUCAGUGCGUGAUGAAGCCUUGGAUAUAUCUGAGCUAUAUCACAUUAUCUUCAAAUAGAAAGCAAUCGUCAGAGGUUAGAUGGGGGGCACUAACGACAUAGUGGUAGUUGCUGCCUUGAUCCUGCGAGAAAUGCUGUGCAGUGACAUCACAGUACAGCAGCGUGAGCACAGCAGCCUGUACCGUGUGUGGUCAUUGCAAGGCCAAAGCCAUGGUAAGUCUCCUAUUCCCGGGACGCUCUCAUGCUGUUUAGUAACCAGAUUACAGCUUGGGUACGCAUUACUUAGCAACCCUUGCCAGGAACGCUUUUCGUCUGCCUGGUGAGAAGGCUGAGACUCUUCCUUCAGGGGCACUAUCAGAUAAGUGUCCUGUCACGUGUGCGCAGAGUUUUUGUGAUACAGUGGCAGGGCGAUGGGAGCUGAAGGCCACUCAGAUGUGGCACUGAAUGGCACUGUGUGACUUGGCCCUAUUUCUUGCAGAAAACACACUCCAUCCAUGUUUCAUGCCCUGCCCAGCCUGCUGCUUCAUCUCCAGGUGCAGAGGAAGGCAACUGCAGAAGUAGGAAAGUACUUCAAACUAGCAGAAGAUUUUUCACACAUGGUCUCUUUAUGAAGCGCCGUCUUGCUUUUCGUCUGGUCUGAAACAAGACUGCAAACCUGGCUCGAUCGGGAGUCUCCAUGUCCACCUGGAAGGCAAAUCCGGACGGCCGGAGGCGUUGCCGGCUGCCGGCGGUCUUGGCAGAGCCCCGCGUGUGCGGCUGCUCCAGGCCUUGCCAGGGUAUGUCUACCUUUCCUGUCCUUCGCUUUCGGGGUCCCUUCCCCGUGUGGGGAACCCCCAAAGCCGGCCAAAGGCUCCCGCGGGCGAGGAGCGCACCCCGCGCCGGCGGUGCGGAGCGCCGGGCUCGGCGCCGCCGGGAGCUGCUGGAGUGAGAACUUGAAAGGAGCCGUCGGUGGCGAGAAGAGGCGGACAAAGCAAGCGCCGGGCUACCGAACGCGGCGCUCUGCCGGCGAGUUUUAAGGCGCUUCAAGUCUAAAGGAGAAGUGACAGGGCAAUCAUCUCCCCGACUUGGCUGCGGAUGGGAGGGUGGAAUCUUGCUAACAGCUCGUGUAUCUGUAUAUUUAAUUGCGACCUGGCUGCAUGUUCCUGUUGAGGAAGGAUGCAGAUCACAAGCGAAUCUAUAAAAACGCAGUUGACAAGCCCGGGAAAGGGAUGACUGACAGAUGAAACGACAGUCAGCGCGGAGCUAACUGGCAAACGCAUCGGUACAAAGUCAGAUACCUUUUGAGAGGAGUAGUAGUUUGUUUUAUUCCGGUUCUCCAGAGUUUUAUCUACUGUCGGUGUGAUGGGGUAGAGAGGAGCUAAUGUGCCCUGUUUAGGAUACAAACAUGCAGAUUAGAUCAGGCUUCAGACACCGUGUUUCACUCAAGACUUAAGAACAGUUAGAGGAAUAAACCAGGCUUCCCCCACCGAGGAAAACAUGGAAUUUUCUUUUAAUGAUUUAAAGGUGAUUUAAACUUGUUUAAACACAACCGUUUCACAUACGGAUAUAGGGAGCUAUCGGGAGUUGAUGGGGUCGGGAGCUGGGGCCCGGAGCUCGCCGCCACCGUUGUGCGAGGCUGGGGCAUUGGGAAUAUCAGCCCAGAUCCCGUUUUCUUCACUUUUGUGUUACUUUAAGUUUUCAAUGAGGCUAGUGUAAUUACGAGGCGUUUAACUUUUUGCCAGACUCUUUCAUUAUGGCUUUGCAUUUGCACCUCGCUUUUAAGGGAAGUAAUAACAUUCACAGUCAGGGGCAAAUCCUGUUAAUGAACAAAUUAAAGUUCAAACAGUUAUUCAAGUUCACAGCCCCACUCGCUGCUCCUUUAAUAAGAGUUAUACAUGUUACUUUCUCUCGGGAUCACUCCCCCUUUUAUUACUUUUUAAGCUUUUCAUAAGCACUAGCGAGCUAUACGGCCAGCUCCCAGCCUUUAAAGAGCCCACAAAUCCUGAAGGGAGCCCUAAUCCGACCUUAAUUUGGCAACUUUUGUAAAAGACAUAAAAGCUCGGGUGCCACCCUUGUGCGCUCAGAUUAUAAUGUCAGGGGACAAGCCGGUGGAAGGCUCCCUCUAUCCCGCACCCACCUAUUUGAGUUGGCUCCCUCCUUCCGGAGCUGUUCAAAAAGGCUCCGUUAGUCCCUCACGGGUACCAGAAGAGAAAUUAGGGAGUCUGGUUGAUAUCCUGGGAAUUUCCACACCCUCCCACGAAAGCUCUACCUGGCUGUGCUGGGCGCGGUCUGCCGGGGCGGCCGGUCCUCCCAGCACGUCCCGCAGCGCUGCCCUUGGGCCGGAGCCCGUUGCCUGCCUUCAAGAGUAAGCAACGUGGAGUUAAAAAAAAAAACCAACCCCCCCCCGAAAAUAUAAAUCCUUGCGCUCUUCUUCUCUUCCCGCCCCUCUUCUUUUUCUCCAGACCUUGUGCGAUUAGACUGCGCUCACCUCGGCAUUUGCAUAACACGAAUCUAAAUUCCCCUUGUCAGGGGCUGCCCGGGCCCGGGGGAGCCGCGGCUCCCGGUGGGACCGGGCGGGGAGCGGGGCGGUGCCCCCGCGGGGCCGGGCUCCGGGCCGGGGGGCGGCGGGCAGAGUCCAACAAAGCCCGGGGAGUUUGACACUGGUUCACGGCAGCGCCGGUGCAAAAGCGCUGUCUACGUACAAACAGAGGAGAUCACACUCCCCAUUAUCUACCUCCUGGCGAGUGUUUGAUUUGUGACAUCAAAAGCUUAUCAAGGCAAGCAAAAAAAAAAAAAAAAAAAAGGAAGGGGAAAAAAGCACCUCUUCAUGGAGGGAGGUCGCUGCGGUUUGGGUGAUGCGGGGGAGGAGGAAGGGGCCGGUACUGACAAAAUGCCGCCGGUGCCAGGGAGGCGAUUCCUGUCCCGCCCGUGUCCCUGCGGGCCGAGCGGCGGGGCUGGUGCGGGGCCGGCCGCGGGUGCGGGGCGCUGCCGCGGGCGCGCAGAGCAGCGGGCGGGCGGGCUGGCCUCGGCGGAGGGCUGGAGGGAGGCCCUGAUUCCUCGCAGCCAUCCACACAGAAGUGGUUUGAUAUAAUCACCAUGACAACUGCCGCCUAUAAGCAUACAAAUAAUAGAGAUGAAAUAGACAAAAGAUUAGCAUGCCAUGAAAAGUACAAUAAGUUUCUUAUUUAGCAUUUAGAUAACUGUCUUUCCUUCGGAGCAGGCUUCAAAGUUGAACCCAGUUUAGACCAAGAGGAUUAAUUCUUUCUCCCGCAUGCUUCAUUGAAUCUCUCAUUACCAAACUUUGUCUGUAUUGAUGUAAGAUUUGAUUGAAGAUUAGAGCAUUUAGCAAAUCUUGCUUUUCUGCAUGUAUCAGGCCUUUUCAAGCGCAGACCGUGCUGCCCAGUGGUCAAUACCCUUACUUUUAUCCAGUGUCUGCUUCAUUUAAACUUAAUCAACUCCCUCAAUGAACUGGAACAGGGAAACGUCCCUGAGGUAAGAAUGUUGUGCUGUUCUUAGAUAAUUCUUUGCUCCCUCUCCCAAUCCGCUGGCGUUAAACCUAAAAUUGCUCUCUGAUGAACUUAAUCAAUAUGAUAAUGACAAUUGGGGCUGAAUGGCUCGGCCUGGGCUCGGCACGGAAAAGGUAGAUGGCUGUGCCCAUAGCCUAAAAGCAACUUCUCCUUUCUCGCUUCUUUUGUGUGCACUGCUCCCACCUUUCUUUCUCUCUCUCCCCCUCUUCCCCCCUCUCCGUGACACCGACCGCUGCUCACGCUGGAGAAUGAUGCUUCUUUGUGCGGCAGGAGGACUCGUAUGUCACCGCCCGGAGGAGCGGAGCGGAGCGAUUGGCCGGCUUGACUUUGAAUUUCCUUAAGUGCCAGAACAAGGAUGAGGUGCCGGAUAGUGCAUUGCCGUGUGCUAUAUUUAGAAAGCAGCUGGAAGAGAAAAUGUCCUCAGGAAUCCGGACUGUUUUGUUGUAAAUGUCCCUCCAGUCCCAGCACUGUAAACGUAAACGCUCGUUCUACAGACGUGUCAGCGCUUGGCGCUACCUGGGAGAGCUGGGUGUCAUGCCUGGCGUUAGCACAGAGGAGGGCCUGGCUCCACCUCGGGCUGCCUGGGGAAUUCUGAGUUAUCCAACAUCAGACUGCCAUAGUGCUCAGCGUGCCUGAUGACCGUGGAAAGGAAGAGUCCCAGCACCUCAAGCUGGGUAGACCAAUGGGACAUACCAUUGAAAACCACUGCUCAAAGGGCCUAGUGAAAUCAUGGGCCAACACCCUUUCUAACCAAGCCAGUGCCCAAUGGGAGAAGGACCAGGCUUCUAAUGUGAGGAAAAACACGCGGUGACAAGUGUGGAAAAGAGCAAGCACUAAAUUACUGUCAGAAAAAUAAACGGCGGAGCGCGGCGCGGGGCGGUGAUUUACGGGGGCAAUUAGUCACCGCCCCACGGAGCCGCUGAGGCCGGCGGGGCCGCCGCAGCAUCCCUGGGGGCUGACCCGGCUCUGGCUCCUGGCCCAGGACUGCACCCAGCACGGGCACCCAGGGCUUGUCCCGCUCCCGUGCUUCAUUUUUUGCCUACCCCAAAAAUAGGGGUGCAGGAGAAGAGAGGAGCCACCCCAAAAGCCACAGUCUCUGUUAGUGGAGAAAGUGGAGGCUCUCCGGGUCUGCUUGUUCAUCGUGGUGAGUGGCUCGUGCCCAGGUGUGUGGGGUGAUUGAAGAAGUGAGUGGGUACCAUUAAAUGAAAAAUACUCUUAGAGAAUGGAGUCAGGAAAGUGGGGGUGGAAGAGCUGCUGGGCCAGGUGAGAGGGUGGAGGUGGCUCUGCAGCUACUGUGUCUUCUGGAGCUGCUGUGGGCCAUUGAGCCUCCCAGUCUCAGGGAAUGGCUCUGCUGCUAACUGGGAGUGGACAUUAUAAAGGUAUCUAUGCACUGUUGUUUCACUAGGGUGGAGUCCAGGAGAGAUGUUUUCAUUUGAAGCUAGCAGCAAAGAAAUCAUGGACUGUUCAAGCUCCAGUUCAGCCUGGGACCAUGACAAUGAGCCCCCAGCCAGCGUGUUGUGGGGCAUCUGAGGGGGGAAGUUGGAAGGACCCCCAAGUCCCUGGUCUAGCAUGGUCCUUAUCUGGACCUUGUGGCUGGGGUGCCAGGGCCUGAGAGACUCCAAUUCCUAUCUUUAGGGACCACACUGACACUCCUUUGCCCCAACUCAUGUUACUGGAUCUACUUCAAAUGUGUAGUGGUUUUGUAACUUUUUACCCCGUCUGCUCCCAUUGACCUACCAGUCCUUACUUACUUGGUGCCUGGAUGUCAAUUUUCAUUUUCUAAGGCUUUAUUGGCCACCUAGGCCUUAUGUCUGUCCCCUGAGCAGGGGACAGCAUUAUCUGACUUUGGAUGCAUGCUGCCAUUAGACCUGCCAGCCUGGUGUCUGGCUCCUCCAAAUAGUUGGCACUUGGAUAAUGGGAGACAGUCUGUCCGAGCUCACUGUAACAGCUGGUGCCAGCCAGCUCUUCAAGGACUGGUGCCAGCAUCAGGAGGAGUGCGCCAGGGUCUGCUCAUCAAACAGACCAGCACCCGACCCAUGGCUGCCACUGGGGGACAAAGGGAAAAGCAGCAGAGCAAGUCCCUCUUGACAUGGCACCUCUUGGGAAAGACAGGCAUGUGCCUUUUGAAAGAGGAUGGAAGCUGGAGGAUGAAGAGCUGUUGCAGGUCCCAGUAACUUCAAUAAAUGGCCUUCUCUCCCUGUUCCACUUUCCCAGCUGGUGGGAAGCAUGUGAUACCUGCCUUUGGGAAGCACUAGAGACUUAUGAACGAUCACAGAGGUAAAGCAGUAGUGGUUAUUUUGGGGUCUGCCCUUGGCUGCUUCCUAGCUUUCUGGAAGUGUUCUUGCAGGGACGUGGUGUGGGUGUCUGCAUGCACAAGGUGCUUCUGGUGCUCCCCUUCCCUUGUCGUGGUAGAGUCCUCCUGCUCCCACAGGUUGCUGGGCUGUCUCCUAUAAGUGAUGUGACCAGCAUCUCUCAUGUAAUUUUUCUUCCUCCCACUGGAAAAAUUGUUUGUUUAUGUUCUUUAAAUAAAUAUUUAAUAUCUUUCAUUCUUGUCUACUGUGCUGCUUGUUUUCAUUAUUGAAGGUAAUGUCAGAGUUCUUUGAGGAGGAAGUGGAGAGAGGAGCAUGAACCAUCCAUCUCAUGGGAAUUUCUUCCAUGUAUUUCAGAUUGGUUCCUAAGAAAGUGCUGUUUUCUGCAGAGAUGUGCUUGAAACUGGUGUGAGGUACUUCUGAAGCUUGGAGCGACAGCUUUUCCCAGCAUCACUGGUACACUCUGGGCAUGGCUCCAUGGCUGUGCUGAAGGCACAGACAAUGUUCGUGAACCUUACUGUAUUCGAUGAGAAGCCAACAGGGAGUAUGGAGGAAAGGUUUGAUAUGAAUGCAAAAUAAAAAUUCCAGUUGGGAUGCUACUUGAAAGUAGAUACAAGGCCCUUACACCUCACAAGUAACUUAUUUUUUCCACAACCAGGGAUUACUUCUGGGAUAUGUGGCCACAGCAGAAUGCAAGCACAAGGACAGGGUUUAUCCCCAUGUUUUGUCCAAUUAGUUAGCAUCCAUGAUGGUGGGUGCCUGUGUGAGAGGAUCUGGGACUCUCGGCAUUCCUCCAGUGUUGUCUCUGACACUGUCUAAUGUAAGUUAUCUGGAGUCCUCAGCGAUGUUGAGUCUCCUGUUCUCUCCAUCUGUGCUUUCCUACCUGCCAGCUCUUGGAUAACUUGCUGCUCCCCUCACUGCUUUCACCACCCAUGCUGCUGGAGUUGUAAAGAAAGGGGUCAACCCUGGACCUCCUGCUCUCCAGGUGUCUGAAGCUCUGACAUCUGCUCUGUGGGAGAAGAAAGCUCCUAACCAACUUCUCUUCAAGCCUGCUAGCAAAGGGAUCUGUGAGAGGGUGUUUUACAACUUCUGAAGAAGUAAUGAAGUCGGGUCACUGAGUGGGAGCUUAAAGUUUGUAGAUGCUUGAGGCACGUCGCUACACAGGAGGCCCCAAGGAAAUGGAUGACUGGAAUUUUAGUUUUCGUCUCCUCUGAGAUGAAAGGCCAAACUUCUACUGACUGACUUUCUUCAAGACUCACUUCUCUUCAGUUUCUCCAGACUGAGUCUCUGGGGGUGAUGCUCUUGAACUGAUCAACCCUCCUGCAAAGGAUUAAGGAUGUGCACAUGCCAUCGUGAGAGGAGGAAUGCAUAUGCUUUAGGAACGGACUUUAUAGCAAGCAUUUUUGCGUUUUUCACUGCUAUGUCGGAUGACUGUCUUGGAUGAAGCUGUCCAAAAUGACAAGUGGCUGCAGCAACUUUAAACUCCCCCAAGUAAAAAAACCUGGAAAGUUCAGCUCUCAUUAAGGAGCACCUGCCCUCGGAACAGAUUAUAUUUCGAGCUGCACUGGACAAGGACUUAUUGGAAGAUAAAUGGAAGUCAAUACUAGGCUUUUUUAAAGUAAACAAUAAAUAGACUUUUCUCUUCCCUGUACAAAUAGCCUCUUCUCUACACCACCUUCUUGGUGCUGAAAGACAGAAGGAAGGAAAGGUUAUCUGAGUUACUCCUCUGUCUAAUGAUAAUUAAAACUAAUAGAUCCCCAAGGAUGCUGAUGGAAUGCAAUGUAUUUGGAACAUGCCAAAGUGACUCCAGAUAUUUCCAUUGUUUGAGUAAAGUAUGUGGGUCUGGUCCUUACCUGCAGAGUAGAUUAAGUAGUUCUUUGCCCGUAGCUCAGCCAUAGGAUCUGCCUGUUCCCUCUCCCUGUCCUCUAGCUUAGCACAGGGGUCUCAGCACUGGGUCUUCUCUGCUGGACCCUACACUACAGUGAUGGCUGUAGCCAAGUGGAAAAUGUUGGGCUAGGCAACUGGAGCAACUCCAGCAACCCGGCUGCCCUAGAGAGAAUGCAACAUCUGGGCAGCUGUGGGCUCCUCUCUGUCCCCCUCCCUCUGUAGUGCCAGGAAGGGCUCCCUGCCUUGGUGGUACCCACCUGGCUUCAAACCCAUCUGCUGCAGCCCCUUGUGUGGGAGCAGGCAGUAGUCCUGCUGCCCUGGCUUCUUGCAUCCUCCAGGCUGAGGGCUCUGCGCUGCACUGUGGAGGCAUCCAAAAUGGGAGGAUGGGUAGCACCACCCAUCUUAGCCUGAGUAGAAAUGGAUGAUACCAUAGCUGUAGGAAAUGGGUAAGUCAGCAUUGCAGUCCUUAAUUAUUGAAUGUCUGGAGCAGAGAUGUAAGAUGGUCUUAAAUAUCUUAAUGUUAAAGAAAAAUAAGUUUGAAAGGUGUUUGUAUUUGUUUUCUAGCACUUGCUCUUGAAUUUGGCUCGUGACCACACGGACUUGCUGUUCAGUGGGACUGCCAUCCUGAGGAUUGAGGUGAUCAAGUAGAUCUGGGGGCCAGAGCUGCUUCAGGAAAAUGCUGAAUCCUCCAAUGUCUGCAGCAUGAUGCCGGAGUUGCAGCGGUGAGGCUGUCAGGGCUCUAGUCUGCACACAAAGAGGGAAGACUGAGGUUGUCAAAGAGCGGGUAGCAAAACGUCACAGUGGGCAAUGGCUUCACCCCCUCUCUCUGGGGUGGCAGGAUGCACAUGGAGGGCUGUUACCUAUGGAGGUUUUCACCUUUUUCAUGGUUUUUGUGGGGACUGCUGGAUCAGCCCAUGCUGAUGUGCUAGUUGGUGGUUCCUGAUGAGAAGCCAGUGGUGUGAUGGGCUAUCGAGGGCCGCCACUUCAGUUCAGCAUGAAAGCAGUGAGCUGGAGCAAAGGUCCUGCUCUGCCAAGCCUGGCCUGUUUGCCAUUGAAAUCCCUGCUAGCAAUUUUUCCUUUAAUGAUCUUUAUGACAGGCAGAGAAAGCACCAUUGUUUGCUUAGUUUGCUUUAAAAAUAGUUUUCUAAAUUUGCAAGCGACAGUUCAAUGCGUGUCUGAAACCCAGUGCCCCAGGGUGUAUGGGAGCACCAGUAACCGCAAACAUGGCACGAGCUUGUGGGGACAUGGGAAAUGGCAGCACUAGGGAUACUAAUGUGAUUAAGUCGUGUACAACUCAAUUAGUUUCCCUUUUCCUCCCAUGGAAGGUGGCAGGCCUGGCUGGUUGCUUGCUGGUGGAUGAAGACAUCACAUUCAAGGUCACACUGAGUGCACGGUGGCACUGAAGCCACGCAGUUCCAGUUUGACCCUGGCCACGCGGGGCCACUCUGGCAGAGCUGGGAGCAGAGGACAAGCAGCCCCUCAGGUCUCCAUCCUGCAUGGAAAGACCUUCUCCUGCUGAGGCAAGCUGAUGUCUCAUGGAAGAGCUCCUCCUCAUCUGCUCCUCUUCCCUGGCUCACAGGAUGCAGGAUGCUGAUCUCUGUCUCUGAGUAGGUCCUGAGCUGGGCUCUGUGUUGGCCUGUUCCUGUCCCACACCCAGCACUGAUUGGGAUGCAGCCAGCGACUACCAGACACUGCCUAGGAUGGGCAUGGGCUUGGACAAGGGAUCCUCACACCACCUUGGAGAUCAGAUGUGGGACACCCCAGAACGUGCACAAGGCACCUGUGCUGCUGGCCUUGGCAGAGGAGAGAAAACUGGGAAGGAGAGCUCAAUACCUCCGCUUGCAGCUGUGUGCUUGUGUGGUAGAGAACGGGAAAGGCGGAAGGCAACGGAGAGCCGCUGCCCGGGCGACGGGGCUGGCUGGCCGGGACGAGCAGACCGUGGCCGCGCUCGCUCCGCGCCUGGCACCUCGCUGCUCCGCGCCGUUUUGUUCCCGCUGGGAAACGUUCUGUAGCGUCUCUUGCAACGGCCCCAAUUACUCCGAGGUACAAUAUAUUUUCGCCUGGAUUAGACGGCGAGUCUGUUGGCACAGUGUAAAUGUCAAGCAGCAGCUUUUAAUAAAGGGAUGUUCAGACUGUUAAAUUUCACAGUACAACGGGCUCGGCCCCUCCCGGCCUCCUCCAGCCCCCCCUCCCUCCGAGCUGUGGUGCUGCCAGUGAGCCAACACGACUGCGCACCAAAAUCCGAGUGGGAAGUAACCCAUCCCGAGGCCGAAAUGCUGCGUCCUGCCAUCCCCGAAAUGCUUGGCAGAGGGACCCCCAGACCCCCGCACUGUGCUCCUGGGGAUCCCCUUCAGUGGGGCGGGGCCUUCCCGUUGGGGGCCAAGGUGGCAGUUGCUGGACCCCGUUGGCCGGAGCUUGAGGCCGGUUCGCGGUGCCUGGGCUGGGACCGCCCUCCCGGCAGGGGUCGGUUGUCGAACCGGCACAUGAUAGCCCGUCCCUGCCGCUCGCUGCCCCCAGCCUCCAUCGGGCCAUUGAUUAGCGCUCUAAGUGCUGCUCUAAUUAGCUGCCUGCUAAUUAACGAGCGGCGCCCCGUCCGAGUUUUCUGAGUGGCACCUUCGCUCAUCGCUUUGAUUCGGU